rnacentral:rRNA from 1 species
AUUGAACGCUGGCGGCAUGCCUUACACAUGCAAGUCGAACGGCAGCACGGGGGCAACCCUGGUGGCGAGUGGCGAACGGGUGAGUAAUGCAUCGGAACGUGCCCAGUAGUGGGGGAUAACCCGGCGAAAGCCGGGCUAAUACCGCAUACGACCUAAGGGUGAAAGCGGGGGACCGUAAGGCCUCGCGCUAUUGGAGCGGCCGAUGUCUGAUUAGCUAGUUGGCGGGGUAAAAGCCCACCAAGGCGACGAUCAGUAGCUGGUCUGAGAGGACGACCAGCAACACUGGGACUGGGACACGGCCCAGACUCCUACGGGAGGCAGCAGUGGGGAAUUUUGGACAAUGGGCGCAAGCCUGAUCCAGCCAUGCCGCGUGCGGGAAGAAGGCCUUCGGGUUGUAAACCGCUUUUGGCAGGAACGAAACGGCGCAAGCCAAUACCUUGCGCUAAUGACGGUACCUGCAGAAUAAGCACCGGCUAACUACGUGCCAGCCGCCGCAGUAAGAC